rnacentral:rRNA from 1 species
UACGGGGGGGGCAAGCGUUGUUCGGAAUUACUGGGCGUAAAGGGCUCGUAGGCGGCCAACUAAGUCGGAUGUGAAAUCCCCAGGCUCAACCUGGGAACUGCAUCCGAUACUGGAUGGCUUGAAUCCGGGAGAGGGAUGCAGAAUUCCAGGUGUAGCGGUGAAAUGCGUAGAUAUCUGGAGGAACACCGGUGGCGAAGGCGGCAUCCUGGACCAACACUGACGCUGAGUGAGCGAAAGCCAGGGGAGCAAACGGG